UUGUGAAAUCCCCGGGCUCAACCUGGGAACUGCAUCUGUGACUGCAUAGCUAGAGUACGGUAGAGGGGGAUGGAAUUCCGCGUGUAGCAGUGAAAUGCGUAGAUAUGCGGAGGAACACCGAUGGCGAAGGCAAUCCCCUGGACCUGUACUGACGCUCAUGCACGAAAGCGUGGGGAGCAAACAGGAUUAGAUACCCUGGUAGUCCACGCCCUAAACGAUGUCAACUGGUUGUUGGGUCUUCACUGACUCAGUAACGAAGCUAACGCGUGAAGUUGACCGCCUGGGGAGUACGGCCGCAAGGUU
rnacentral:rRNA from 1 species